CUAAACACGAUAAUAAGGAAAGUAGAACUUACACUGCUGGCACAGAGAGCCUCUGACCGCUGAAAGGAGGCGCAGAAAGAAAGUUUGAAAAUGGCCUUGGAGUGGUGGUGUCGAUAUGAGGCAUCAACGGGGGCGCCCGUUACAGCGCUACAGUAUUAACAUUUUUGCACAAUGGCGUACUGGAUGACGAAACGUUAUUUUAAAUCAUACAGCAACUAGCUGAUUAUUAUAAUAGCGGGCCUUUAUUUCAGUAUUGGAGCCAUAGACAGAUUUAGCGUACUGGAAGAGGUUGCUUUAGCAAUAAAGCAGCGAAUUAAGGUGGUACCGCGAAGCACAAGCUUUCGUCCUUUAC
rnacentral:ncRNA from 1 species